UAAAACGUAGGAGGCGAGCGUUAUCCGGAAUCACUGGGCGUAAAGGGCGUCUAGGCGGCGCGACAAGUGAGGUGUGAAAGCUCCUGGCUCAACUAGGAGAGUGCGCUUCAGACUGUCGCGCUUGGAGGGCAGGCGAAGGGGGUGGAAUUCCCGGUGGAGUGGUGGAAUGCGUAGAGAUCGGGAGGAACACCAGUGGCGAAAGCGGCCCCCUGGCCUGUUGCUGACGCUGAAGCGCGAAAGCGUGGGGAGCAAACGGG
rnacentral:rRNA from 1 species